AAAGAAGCGCGCAGCCCGGGGCAGCAGCAAGUGCUCCUUUUUCGGUGCGCUGCUUUCCAACUCUGCUGCCCUUUGAGGCUUUUCCUAACAACCGCACCCAGAGGUCCCAGCACGGGUCUCAGCAUGCCAGGCCUGGGAGCCCCGCACCACCGCGAGAAUCGCCGUCCCCUACCUGGGUGGAAAAUCCGCAGCGAGCCGGUCAGCAGCCGAACACCGCACUGGCAAAGCCUCACAGGAGACAGCUAUAUCAGGAUCCCUUCAGCAAAAUCUUGCUGGCAUAUGCAAUAGUGUCUGCAUUUGGUGGCUGAUUAUGGGAUGGACCCCCAGAGACAAAAAGACUCGGGACCAUUUCUCAUUGGCAGUAGCAGCAAAACACUGGAAAUCACUUUAAUGUUCAACAUGAGGGGAGUUUUGAAGUCAAUAGUGGCGUAUAGCUGCAUGUGACGAGACACUUUAAAGUGUGAAAUCACUUUCUGGAAGAUGAUUUAAUGGAGAGGAGAAUGUAUAUGAGAAAACACAGCCUCCGACCUGAGUCUACAGAGUAACUCCAAUAUGCAGAUGAAGAUGAGAGUUUCAUGCUUCAAGGAACUGAUUUUAUACAAUUCCUCCAAAGUCUGGAGCAUAGGAUUUCAAUGUAGCCUCUCUACUGCCCUUCCAGGGGUCAGAUAGGCUUGCAAAUGUUUGAAGAGUAACACUGACCACACAAAGUCAUCCAGACAGACUAGCAGAGUCUCAGAGAACAGAUGGCCAAUGAGAGAAU
ensembl:processed_transcript 1500012K07Rik RIKEN cDNA 1500012K07 gene